GCCCGGCUGGCGUAAUCGGAUAACGCACCAGACUUCUAAUGAAUGUAAAAUUCAGUUGGGUAUCUGGGGAUUGCGGGUUCGAGUCCCGCGUCGGGUA
rfam:Rhizophagus irregularis DAOM 181602 strain DAOM 197198 GLOINscaffold_16544_Cont16492, whole genome shotgun sequence.